rnacentral:misc_RNA from 1 species
UCAAACUUGGUCAUUUAGAGGAAGUAAAAGUCGUAACAAGGUUUCCGUAGGUGAACCUGCGGAAGGAUCAUUCAUAAUAAAAGUGUUUUAUGGCGCUUUUAAAAUCAAUCCAUAUCCACCUUGUGUGUAAUGUUUUUUUUUAUCAUUAUUAUACCACGUUUUCCGAUAAGUCUGAAGCAUUUUUUUUAAAUAAAAAAAAAAAUACAACUUUCAACAACGGAUCUCUUGGCUCUCGCAUCGAUGAAGAACGCAGC